AGAUCAAAUUGUUGGUCGUGCCUCUGGUACGUACUGAUUUUAUUGGUUUCUCCCUUCUGACGAACCGUGAUGUCAUUAAUUUGGUGUCGCGGGGAAUUAGGACUGUUACCUUGAAAAAAUUAGAGUGUUUAAAGCAAGCUCACGCUUGAAUACAUUAGCAUGGAAUAAUGAAAUAGGACAUUGUAUUCUAUUUUGUUGGUUUCUAGGAUCGAUGUA
rnacentral:rRNA from 1 species